rnacentral:rRNA from 1 species
CGCGUAGGCGGGCUAUUAAGUUGGGGGUGAAAUGCCGGAGCUCAACUCCGGAACUGCCUCCAAAACUGUUAGCCUUGAGGUUUGGAGAGGGAAGUGGAAUUCCUGGUGUAGCGGUGAAAUGCGUAGAUAUCAGGAGGAACACCCGUGGCGAAGGCGGCUUCCUGGCCAUAUCCUGACGCUGAGGUGCGAAAGCUAGGGGAGCGAACGGGAUUAGAUACCCCGGUAGUCCUAGCCGUAAACGAUGGAUACUAGGUGUUAGAGGUAUCGACCCCUCUAGUGCCGCAGCUAACGCAUUAAGUAUCCCGCCUGGGGAGUACGACCGCAAGGUUGAA